rnacentral:rRNA from 1 species
CUGCAGUAUUUUGACUGUACUAAGGUAGCAUAAUCAUUAGUUUUUUAAUUAAAAGCUAGAAUGAAGGGUUGGAUGAAAAAAUAACUGUCUCUGUUUAAAUAAAAAGAAUUUUAUUUUUAAGUUAAAAAGCUUAAAUUUUAUUAAAAGACGAGAAGACCCUAUAGAGUUUUAUGAAUAAAAUUAUUUAUGUUUAGGAUUAAUAAAUAUAAUGAUUUGAUUUGUUUGAUUGGGGUGAUUAAAAAAUUUAUUGACCUUUUUAUUUAUUUUUAUAUAAAUUUAUAAAUUAUUGAUCCAAUUUUAUUGAUUAAAAGAAAAAAUUACCUUAGGGAUAACAGCGUAAUUUUAUUAGAGAGUU